ACGGUAGCACAGAGAGCUUGCUCUCGGGUGACGAGUGGCGGACGCGGUGAGUAAUGUCUGGGAAACUGCCUGAUGGAGGGGGAUAACUACUGGAAACGGUAGCUAAUACCGCAUAACGUCGCAAGACCAAAGAGGGGGACCUUCGGGCCUCUUGCCAUCAGAUGUGCCCAGAUGGGAUUAGCUAGUAGGUGGGGUAAUGGCUCACCUAGGCGACGAUCCCUAGCUGGUCUGAGAGGAUGACCAGCCACACUGGAACUGAGACACGGUCCAGACUCCUACGGGAGGCAGCAGUGGGGAAUAUUGCACAAUGGGCGCAAGCCUGAUGCAGCCAUGCCGCGUGUAUGAAGAAGGCCUUCGGGUUGUAAAGUACUUUCAGCGGGGAGGAAGGUGUUGUGGUUAAUAACCGCAGCAAUUGACGUUACCCGCAGAAGAAGCACCGGCUAACUCCGUGCCAGCAGCCGCGGUAAUACGGAGGGUGCAAGCGUUAAUCGGAAUUACUGGGCGUAAAGCGCACGCAGGCGGUCUGUCAAGUCGGAUGUGAAAUCCCCGGGCUCAACCUGGGAACUGCAUUCGAAACUGGCAGGCUAGAGUCUUGUAGAGGGGGGUAGAAUUCCAGUGUAGCGGUGAAAUGCGUAGAGAUCUGGAGGAAUACCGGUGGCGAAGCGGCCCCCUGGACAAAGACUGACGCUCAGUGCGAAAGCGGUGGGGGAGCAAACAGAU
rnacentral:rRNA from 1 species